rnacentral:rRNA from 1 species
AUUGAACGCUGGCUGCAUGCCUUACACAUGCAAGUCGAACGGCAGCACGGGAGCAAUCCUGGUGGCGAGUGGCUAACGGGUGAGUAAAGUAUCGGAACGUGCCCAGUCGUUGGGGAUAACGUAGCGAAAGUUACGGUAAUACGGCAUACGAUCUAUGGAUGAAAGCGGGCGAUCGCAAGAACUCGCGCGAUUGGACCGGCCGAUAUCAGAUUAGGUAGUUGGUGGGGUAAAGGCUCACCAAGGCGACGAUCUGGAGCUGGUCUGAGAGGACAACCAGCCACACUGGGACUGAGACACAGCCAAGACUCCUACGGGAGGCAGAAGCGGGGAAUUGUGGACAAUGGGGGAAAGCCUGAUCCAGCCAUGCCGCGUGCAGGAUGAAGGCCUCCGGGUUGUAAAGUGCUUUUGUAAGGAACGAAAAGGUCUGGCCUAAUAAGCUGAGCUCCUGACGGUAGCGUAAGAAUAAGCACCGGCUCACUACGUGCCAGCAGCCGCGGUAA